GAUGAACGCUAGCGGCAGGCUUAAUACAUGCAAGUCGAACGGUAAGGUCUCUUCGGAGAUACACGAGUGGCGCACGGGUGCGUAACGCGUAUGCAACCUACCUUUAACUGGGGCAUAGCCCCGAGAAAUCGGGAUUAAUACCCCAUAAGAUCAUAGAAAGACAUCUUUCAGUGAUUAAAGCUCCGGCGGUUAAAGAUGGGCAUGCGCGACAUUAGCUUGUUGGUGAGGUAACGGCUCACCAAGGCUACGAUGUCUAGGGGGUUCUGAGAGGAUUCACCCCCACACUGGUACUGAGACACGGACCAGACUCCUACGGGAGGCUG
rnacentral:rRNA from 1 species